rnacentral:rRNA from 1 species
UACGUAGGGUGCGAGCGUUGUCCGGAAUUAUUGGGCGUAAAGAGCUCGUAGGCGGUGUGUCACGUCGGCCGUGAAAACCUGCAGCUUAACUGUGGGCGUGCGGUCGAUACGGGCAUCACUGGAGUUCGGCAGGGGAGACUGGAAUUCCGGGUGUAGCGGUGGAAUGCGUAGAGAUCCGGAAGAACACCGGAGGCGAAGGCGGCUUGCUGGGCGUGAUCUGACGCUGAGGCGCGAAAGCGUGGGGAGCGAACAGG